UUGGCUGCCAUGGGGACACCUGGGGGGACUGUGUGGGUUCAGACAUGGACACCAAGGAUGGGAAGAUGCCUGCCCACAUCCCAGGAGUGGAGGUUCGUUAAUGCCCUCAUCUUGCCUGGCAGGGGCUGCCUGGGAAGCCUGGCUCGGAGGGGCCGCAAGGACCUGUCGGCACCUAUGGCUACCCAGGACCUGCCGGUGACCGCGGGAGGCCAGGGCGCAGGGGAGACAAGGGAGAAAUGGGAGCCCAAGGCCUGCCAGGGUUUCCAGGAAAAGCUGGUCCCAAGGUGAGUACUGUUUGCUGCUGCCCUGGGCAGCUCCAGCCCCUCCAGAGCAGCACUCAGCAAGUCGCCUUUGCUGGGCUGG
rnacentral:lncRNA from 1 species